rnacentral:rRNA from 1 species
GACGAACGCUGGCGGCGCGCUUAACACAUGCAAGUCGAACGGAAAGGCCUGCUUUCCCUUGUGGAUUGCGGGUACUCGAGUGGCGAACGGGUGAGUAACACGUGAGUGAUCUGCCCCCAACUUGGGUAUAAGCCUGGGAAACUGGGUCUAAUUCUCGAUAGGACUGCAGGGUGGUGCCUGUGGUGGCAAACGAUUUUCUAGUGGUUGGGGAUGAGCUCGCGGCCUAUCAGCUUGUUGGUGGGGUAAUGGUCUACCAAGGCGGGGACGGGUAGCCGGCCUGGGAGGGUGGACGGCCACAUUGGGACUGAGACACGGCCCAGACGGCUACGGGAGGCAGCAGUGGGGAAUAUUGCACAAUGGGCGGAAGCCUGAUGCAGCGACGCCGCGUGGGGGAUGACGGCCUUCGGGUUGUAAACUCCUUUCGACCGCGAGGAAGCCACCUGGUUGGAAGGGUGGUGACGGUAGUGGUAGAAAAAGCACCGGCUAACUACGUG